rnacentral:sRNA from 1 species
GCCAGGCGCAGUGGCAUGUGCCUGUAAUCCCAGAAGCUCGGGAGGCUUAGGCAGGAGAAUUUCGAGUUCAAAGCCAGCCUCAGCAACAGCAAGGCACUAAGCAACUCAGUAAGACCCUGUCUCUA